rnacentral:lncRNA from 1 species
AAAAUAAUUAUAUCUGUAAAAGUAUACUUAUUUUGGAAAAACAAAAAGUGUUAAAAAUUUGAUCUGAAAUGAAAUAAUGAAUUAGUUGAGAAGGGAGGAUUUUAUUUAUCUAAGUUGGAAAAAGAAAAGGAAAAAAAAUUAUUAAGGAGGGUUGCUAGGUUUGCUUGUGUAAGAAAAAAAAAAAACGAAAUUCCCUUGCCGUCGUUCACUGCAGCACCUUCACCACCGUCGACUGUAUCGCGUAGCACAUCGACCGUAGCAGUUGUUCUCCGUCCCACAUAAAGCCUCUACAAGAAAUUCGAGUCACGUCUCGUUCCAGCCAUGCCAGAGCUGCUAUUGGUCAAACCUCGUCUACUUCGGGCUGCCGAUCGUCGUUCUCUCCGUCGAAGCCUUCGUCCAGCCGUGCUUCACGUUUGUCGGUCAGUCUCUCGCACAUAUCAUAGACGAGCCGUCUUUCACCUUCAAGUUCUCGAGUCGUUCCCGGUUCAUGAGCCACCCCACCCAGUCGACGCCAGCUCUCAUUCGUGAAGUUUCCUCCACUGUUUGACCCGUCCAAGCCACGUGUAAGCCGCCCCUUUAGUCGAGCCUAUUUGUUUCUUUUCACCUAUUUUUUAGCCACUUGUCGGUGAUUUUUGAUUAGUUUUAUCAAAUAUUAAUUUUGGUAUAGAAUAAAGUAAUUUUAGAUUAAGUUGAGUUAUUUUCUUAAAUUUAGAUUUUUCUGAUCUCCACGUUAAUUUGGCUAAUAUUUUGGAAUGUGUGGAAUUUUUUUCAAUAACAUUCAAUUGGUUUCAACCUUAACUUUCGGUAAGUUUAUUAAUUGGAAAACAAUAGUAAACGGUUAAUAUUUAUUGACUAAGCUAUUUGAAUUUUCUUUACUAGCUUUGAUUGUGACAGAUAAAGAUUUGACUUUUAAGUUCGUAUCUCACAUAAGAGAUUCUACUACUACACAUUCGAAAAUAAAAUUAAGAGUUUGCAUAUAUUUUCCAUUAUGCAUUGAUGUAGUUAAAGAUGGAUAAUGUCACUGAUAUGGAUGAUUGAGAUGUUAUGACUGAUAUGACUAUGUUAUGAUGUAUGAAAUAUUAAGCACAUGAUAAAGAUGUUAUAAUUGAUAUUCAUGUUAAAUUUAUGAUGUUUAUGAUAUGUUACAUGCUAUGGAUGAGAGUUCUGUUAACUUUGUCUAUUAUGGUUGUAUCUAUAUUGUAACGACCCAACUCUUUAUACUAAGUUGGGGUUAUUACUAAUAAAUAAAUAACAGUUGAUACCAUUUAAAUGAAAGAAAAGGAAAACAAGUUCUAAAAUAAAAUUAAAAAUUUAAAUACUAUUUCAUAAUUCAUAAUUUGAAAAGAUAGAAAUAAAUAUUCGAAAUUUCAUAAUUUAGUCCUAGUUCGAGCCCUAUCUAACUUUUAAAGAAAAAUAACAUGAAAGUAAUUCAUAAGUUCAAUAAAUUUAAAUUAAAAUAUUAAAAGUCAAAUUUUGGAAGGUGGAAGUGACAUAAGAUUUCUCCUGUGGCAAAUCACGAUCACUUCUUGUCAUUCGCUAGCUUUCCUCUACCACUGCCUGAAAAGUUAAAUAUAGAAAGAGUGAGUAUAAACAUAUACUCAGUAAGGGACCCACUACUAGUCCAACUAGGUGUCUGUUAACUUUUCAUUAAAGUUUUGUAAGGAAAUACCCAAAAUCUAUCGUGCUCCCAAACACACGCGCUAUCCAGUGAUCUCGUAGGGACACAUAUGGGCUCUCGGUAAAUGGUAUUCAAUAAACUCAAAGGAACGCCUAUGAAAAUCGGGUUGUAAGUGACCCCGUCGAAUCACUUAUAAACGUUAACCACACAGUCAUAAGAGAUGGUGAUCCCGAAGGACACCCAUAUGGGUAUGACCCUAACAGACAAAGUUAACAUAACACUACAGUCCAUAGCAUGUGAUAUGUCAUUAACGUUUAACAUGACAUGAAUAUUAAUCAUAAGUUCCUUAUCAUGUUAUUAACAUACCAUACAUCACAACAUAUCAAUCAUCUCGGUAAGAACACAUCUCAGUCAUAUCAUAGAUUAGUCAUAAUACAUAAGUCAUAACAUAUUAGGUUAUAGUCAUAGCCUAUCAUCCCUAUCCGUCAUAUUAUGCAUUUUAUCUCCAUCAGUACAUAGUAGAAAACACAUGCAAGCUCUUUAAUCUACUUUCGAAGUUCUAGUAGUAGAAUCAAUCCAACAUUUGAUUGGAAAACUUAUACAACUCAAAUCUUCCAAUUUAAGUUUAGCCAACAUUCCAGAACAAAAUGAUCCAACUUAAUUCCAAUAUUAAAUUAUUCCAAGCCACGAAUUACCACUUGAUGAAAAAACCAAAACUCACUAAGACUUACCAAAACUUACUCAAAAUAGGUGGAAAGAGGACAAAAU